UGCCCAACGGGGCAGAGGGAUCCUCCUCCAGGCAUUGCUGAAUUUCCAUUACUCCAAGAGUAUGACAAAGUUUGGACAUAGAAGUCAUCUAGAAUUUCAUUAUUUACCAAUACAAGGCCAAGCAUGGUGAAAGGCAUUGCUCCAACUCCUCAUGUAUGUUGCUGGUUUCCAAAUUAGCUGUGGUCACCUUGGAAGGUGACCAGAGUAUCACUGAACGAUCUUAAGUGGAAACUUCUGCUGCAGAGAAGAAAAUACACUUCUUACAAACACGAGUCAUGGAUCUUUAACAGAGUGGAGCAUGGAUUGAACAUGUCAGCAGGUGAAACAGCAGCAGUUAUGUCUUUGAAGGAGGUGCAGAGCAUCAGCAGGUGGUCAGCUUUAAAUCAGCAAAGAGCAAACCUCACAAAGUCUGCUGUAGAGGGAAGCCACAUGAAGUUUGGAUGCUCUUUACAAAGCUCCAAACUGCCUAUCGUGAAACAAGGAGGUGUCCUACAGACUUUUAGAAUCUCCGUGCUCCCAGGAUAUGGAAUCCAGUUUGGGGACUCCUUUGGGUUGUGUUGACUCAGAAAUCAACCUCGGGCUCUAAGCCCUAGCAUGAGGCUGCAUGCAUCACUCUGGCAGCACAGCAGGGCUGCGGAGCAAGCAGCACCUCCUCUGCUACCAAACACCUCAUUGAUCCAUGUAUGCUGGAGAAAAGUUGAUUGGCUCCAUAAGAUCAAUGUUCAGGCCACAGUAAGACUGUGGCACCUGGACCAUGUCCACCCUGCCUAAAAUGUCCAGAAAAUCAAAUAUUUUGCUUUGGUCAAUGUCCAAAAGCACUUUCAGGAAAAGAUAAUUCAACUUCAUCAAAAAGCAAAUAAA